AUGACUAGGGAUAACCUUAGGAAGAGACACAUCAUCAAACCCCUUGAUUGUGUUUACUGCUUGGAACAAGAGUCUUGUUCUCACCUAUUUUUUGAAUGUAUAGUUGCUAAACAUAUCUGGGUCCACAUUGAGGAAUAUUUCUCUAGUCAGAUUGGCUCAUCCUUCGAGUAUGUCGCCAGAUUCUGGAUUGCUACCAAAAAGUGCUCAGUUUUAAACACGGUUAGCUCAGCUAUCCUUUGGUGCCUUUGAAAAUAUAGAAAUGCUAUGAUUUUCAGUAACACCUCCUGGAUUUCCAUUCACAGGUCUUGA
rnacentral:rRNA from 1 species